rnacentral:rRNA from 1 species
AUGCUGCAGCACUUGGACCUGCAAGAUGAUGAGCUUGAUGAUGUGGUUGUAGGGGAGGAGGAGGUAAAGAAGUUUGCAGCGGACGCUAGGUGGCUAGCGAUUGCGAAGGUGAACACGACCCGUACUUUCAGUUCGUCCUCAAUGUUUGAGUGCAUGAAGUCAAUCUGGUCGCUAGCACACGUCCCCAAGUAUAGGGAGGCGGGCGAAAACCUGUUUAUCUUCCAGAUGUUCUGCCUUGGCGACUGGAAGAAGGGGGUGCAUGGUGGUCCAUGGCUAUUCAGGGGGAUGGGGAUGCUGAUUGAGGACUAUGAUGGUAAGAAGGAAUCCACAUCCUUUGACUUUGAGGGACUGUAUGUAUGGGCUUAGAUUCACAACAUACCAGAACUAUAUCGCAAGGCAGAGGUGGUUGAUCAAUUAGCCCGUCGCAUCGGGCGGGUGAAGGAAAUCCAGCUCGCUCCUCGACUGUUUUAUGAAGGG